rnacentral:tRNA from 1 species
GCGCUCUUAGUUCAGUUCAUAGAACGUGUGUCUUCAAAACCAAAUGUCGUAGCUUCAAAAUCCUACAGAGCAUG